rnacentral:piRNA from 1 species
CGGUGCUUGAAAAAGUGAGGCUGAAGG